CCUACGGGUGGCAGCAGUGAGGAAUAUUGGUCAAUGGACGAUAGUCUGAACCAGCCAAGUAGCGUGAAGGAUGACUGCCCUAUGGGUUGUAAACUUCUUUUAUAUGGGAAUAAAGUGUUCCACGUGUGGUGUUUUGUAUGUACCAUAUGAAUAAGGAUCGGCUAACUCCGUGCCAGCAGCCGCGGUAAUACGGAGGAUCCGAGCGUUAUCCGGAUUUAUUGGGUUUAAAGGGAGCUUAGGUGGAUUGUUAAGUCAGUUGUGAAAGUUUGCGGCUCAACCGUAAAAUUGCAGUUGAUACUGGCAGUCGUGAGUACAGUAGAGGUGGGCGGAAUUCGUGGUGUAGCGGUGAAAUGCUUAGAUAUCACGAAGAACUCCGAUUGCGAAGGCAGCCUACUGGACUGCAACUGACACUGAGGCUCGAAAGUGUGGGUAUCAAACAGGAUUAGAUACCCGAGUAGUC
rnacentral:rRNA from 1 species